GUUUCAGCCGCCGCGGUAAUACGUAGGGGGCAAGCGUUGUCCGGAUUUAUUGGGCGUAAAGAGCGUGUAGGCGGCCAGAUAAGUCUGCUGUGAAAACUCGAGGCUCAACCUCGAGCUGUCGGCGGAAACUAUUUGGCUAGAGUCCGGAAGAGGAAAGCGGAAUUCCUGGUGUAGCGGUGAAAUGCGCAGAUAUCAGGAAGAACACCCGUGGCGAAGGCGGCUUUCUGGGACGGUACUGACGCUGAGACGCGAAAGCGUGGGGAGCGAACAGGAUUAGAAACCCGGGUAGUCC
rnacentral:rRNA from 1 species